CUGCUGGUAGAGGGGGACCCAGGUCUGCUGAGAACGGAGCGCCCGGAGCCCACGAGAACCCAGAGGCUGUGGCCCAGAGACCCAGCAGGCCGGCUGGAGGAAGCCUGGGGCCCUCCUGGUGUCACCUGCCCGAAGUCAGAGGUCAGCUGUCCCGCCCAGGACUGACUCCCUCACCUGCCCCACCCUGCAGCCAGGGACACGGGGUCUGCUGCCAUGGUGAGUGGCUGCGGUCCUAGAGGUCCAGGGGAUCCCCGGGGCUGAAGGGAGGGCAGGGAGGCAGCAGCCCUCCCCUAGGGUAUGGGGGUUCCUGAGAGUAUCCCCCCAGGGAGGGAGUCCUCCCUCCCACUGCUCAUGCAGCAGCCCUGCGUGUGCAUGUGCACGUGCGUGUGUCGGGCCCAGGUGUGUGGGGGGUGGCCCAGGCCUCAGCACCCCCAGCCAGCCCGGGCUUCCCCAGGAGCAGCAGCUCACUCAGCCCUCCCUUCGCUAGGGGCCAAGUAUGGGUGAGAAACCAGUCAGACAGGUUUGGGGGCCUCCUCUGGCUUCCCUGACUUGCGGGAACCUGCUCUCCCUCCUGUCCCUCCCACUCGGCCAGUCCUUGGAGUUGGCACCUCCAUCAGCCCGCCUGGAACCUCGUGUGCCCGCGUGAGGCCAUCCACACACAGAGCUUCCAGAACCGGCUCCCGCCCCCCAUCAGGCCGUCAGGCGUCUCGAGAGCAGUGGGCGGUGGAAGUGCUGAGCCUCUGUGCUGCCCUCACAGAUGGCGGGGGCCCCCAGGGUCCCUGCUGAGCCCCUAACCUAAACCCAAGCCACAUCCCCAGGAGCGCUCGGGCCCUGGAACCCGGCAGCCACGUGGGGUGUCGCCCUGGCCUCACGGGUCACAGAUGCUGUAGCCCAAGGCAGGUGACCUCACUGCAGACAGGAUGCCGUCCCCGCCUAAGAGGGUUGACCCCGGUGCAGCUGCAGGACGAGGAGCAUCUGCUCGGGACGGGCUCAGGCAUGCAGUCACCAGGAGCCUUUAGGGCCACCCUGCCCCGUCACCCGAGCGCCAGCACUGUGGGGGACCUCGGGUGGCCCCUGGCUGCGAGCAUCUUCUUGCAGGUCGCAGGACAGACAUCCUAGAAGCAGACCAGGGGGGCUGCGCCCCGUUCCCAGAAAGUCCCAGGCCUGGGCAAACACCUGGUCUCACUGCUGUGAGGGUCAGUGUCUGUCGCCUUCACCGCUUCCACCCCUCUCGCCCACGAUGGAGCAGGUGCUCCCAGGGGCGCCAAGUCAAUCUGGACUGGUAAUACCUGACGCAUGCCCUUCUCUUGCUCUCUACAUUGGCUUGAACGCACGCACAUCCGCACGAAGGACUGGAACGACAUGA
rnacentral:lncRNA from 12 species